AUUGAACGCUGGCGGCAUGCCUUACACAUGCAAGUCGAACGGUAACGGGCCUUCGGGUGCCGACGAGUGGCGCACGGGGGGGUAAUACAUCGGAACGUGCCCGAUCGUGGGGGGUAACGAGGCGGAAGCUUUGCUAAUACCGCAUACGAUCUACGGAUGAAAGCAGGGGACCGCAAGGCCUUGCGCGGACGGAGCGGCCGAUGGCAGAUUAGGUAGUUGGUGGGAUAAAAGCUUACCAAGCCGACGAUCUGUAGCUGGUCUGAGAGGAUGAUCAGCCACACUGGGACUGAGACACGGCCCAGACUCCUACGGGAGGCAGCAGUGGGGAAUUUUGGACAAUGGGCGCAAGCCUGAUCCAGCCAUGCCGCGUGCAGGAUGAAGGCCUUCGGGUUGUAAACUGCUUUUGUACGGAACGAAAAGCCUUCUUUUAAUACAGGAGGGUCAUGACGGUACCGUAAGAAUAAGCACCGGCUAACUACGUG
rnacentral:rRNA from 1 species